AUAUAUUUAAAAAAAAAUUUAAUUAAUUCAAAAACUCAAAAAGGAAAAAAAAAAAAUAAUAAACAAUUAAAUUCAGAAUAAUUAGGAAAAAAAUAUUUUUUCUAACGUUUCUUACAAAAAAAUGAAUUGUUUCGUUCCUUUUCGUUUUUUAUAAAAUUAUUUAUAAUAUCAAUUUUUUUUGUUACAAUUUUAUUAAUCAUGUUUUUUUGAACAAAUUCUUUUGUUAAUAUUAAAUAUAUGAACAAUUUAGAACCUUGUUUUUUAUUUUUGUUUAUUUAUUUUUUUUACCCUUUUAUAGGAUAAUAUUUUAUAAAUAAAUAAAUAUAUAUA